GUUUGUUAUCGUUGGUAACCUACUUUAUACAUUCAAAUCGAAAAUCACUGUUGUUAUACAAUGCCAUUUUGAAGAACUACAGUUUUUCCUUUUUAGUAAUUGUAACUAAAUUUGAUUUUUGAUUUUUCUAGUAUACAUGCAAUGUUUGUGAAAUACUGAAAUCUAAAUAAUUAUGGAGUUGGUUAAUUUGUUACUUUUCUAAGAACCUGUCAACUGAAAUUAUUUCUAAGCUUAUAAGAUCAUUAAAUUUCAUGAGGUAUAUACGCAUAUUGAAUACGAGUGAAUACAAUCUAUCUCGUCACCAUGAGCGUACACUUCAACAGCGUAAUUUAAAAUAUAGAAUAUUUAAAUCAUAAUAGAUUAUGGAUUUACAUAGAUACCUGUAACUAUAUAUGUAUAUUAUGAUAUCAACAUAUAAUACGUCGUAACGCACUAAUGCCGUAUAUAAUUGUACAAAUGAGUGUUUCAACGCAUGUCGUCAUAAUACGUAUUACCAAAACAAUUUUUGUAUUUACGAUACAACGUACAGCUCGGAAAUAUAAUAUUUCCACCGUAGUAUUGGACAAAUCUACCUCAUCGGGUACCUUCGAUAAUAAAUUGGUAUUCGACUUUUUUUAUUUUCCCUGCGACCUACUACACAUUCACUGUGCGAUUUCUCAUUACAAGUCGUCGGAUGUUUUCAAUUUGAGCUGCAAGAGCGAUCAAACAAUACGAUUGGGUCUCGAGAGAGCAACCAAAAUACCUAAAUAAAAAAUACUUACUCCUGAUGUUAUUUUAUUUUUUUCAUAAUAUUCCAAUGCCGUUUAUCCAGACAGGUCUAUUUAAUAUUAUUAAAAAUGAAGCUUAAUAUAUUUUGUUUAUGUUAAUACUUAAUUUAAAUAAACAAUUUAGGGGUUAAAUGUUCAAUAUGUAUAUCAGGAUGCUGAGGAAAAUGCAAAACGUGUGGGGAUAAAUGCUAUAAAUUAUUUAGAUUUCUUUAUACAGUGUUUUUUUAAAAUUUAUGUUGAUUCACAUUAGAAUUGAGAAACAAUUUAACACAGUUAAUCCCUAUAGUUACAAAUUUCCAAACCACAUAGAUUUAUAUUCGCGUGGAAACUAUAAUAAUGUCUAUAGUAUAAAAGGUGGUCACUGGUCAGGGUUAAAAUUCAAGUAAGCCUACGUCAUGUUUUUAUUUUUCAACCUAACAUAAUAUAGACAUAAUGAUAAUAAUAAUAUAAUAUAAGUUAUACACUGAAAUCGGAUACAAUAUUAUUGUCGAGAGGUAGGGCUAUGGGGCUAACAACUUAAAAUGCAACAAAAAAAAUUGUGUCACCUCGAUACUGUCAUUAAAAUGUCUUUAUAGAUAAUGAAGAAAAUUUUACAAAAUUAUUUAGGUUUUUUAGAGUGGAGAGAUGAAUGUAUUUAUUUUACAGCAACGUAUGUUAUCACUUUUCCGAUUAGAAAAUAUGCUUGGAUUUUCAACUUUGAGAGUGGUUUCUGGUGGAAAAUUGGAUUUAGUUACUACUUACUACUAUCAAAAGUAAAUAAUUCCAAGUAUUUCUCAAGCUUAAUUGGGAAAAAUAAUAAAAUAACAAAGAUAAAACGGGAAUUUUUAUUACGCAAAAACAAUUUUUUUUUGGCGGAACUCAAAAACGAAUUACUAGACAUUUUUACCAAAUGUUUAUAGUAGUAUUUUCCAUACGUGAUAAUUUUCGAAUUUUUUUUUUUUUUUGAGUUAUAUAAAGACAUUUGACUGUUUAUUCCCGUUGCGUCCGUCCGUUCGUACUUUAGUUAGUUAUACAUUAUAAUAGUACAUAUAGUUAUAUACGAUUGCUGAUA